UACGGAGGGUGCAAGCGUUAUCCGGAUUCACUGGGUUUAAAGGGUGCGUAGGAGGGCAGGGAAGUCAGUGGUGAAAUCUCCGGGCUUAACUCGGAAACUGCCGUUGAUACUCUCUGUCUUGAAUACCGUGGAGGUGAGCGGAAUAUGUCAUGUAGCGGUGAAAUGCUUAGAUAUCGUCAAGAACACCGAUAGCGAAGGCAGCUUACUAGGCUGUAACUGACGCUGAGGCACGAAAGUGUGGGGAUCAAACAGG
rnacentral:rRNA from 1 species